CGCUGGCGGGAUGCUUUACACAUGCAAGUCGGACGGCAGCACGGACUUCGGUCUGGUGGCGAGUGGCGAACGGGUGAGUAAUGUAUCGGAACGUGCCCAGUAGCGGGGGAUAACUACGCGAAAGCGUGGCUAAUACCGCAUACGCCCUACGGGGGAAAGCGGGGGACCUUCGGGCCUCGCACUAUUGGAGCGGCCGAUAUCGGAUUAGCUAGUUGGUGGGGUAACGGCUCACCAAGGCGACGAUCCGUAGCUGGUUUGAGAGGACGACCAGCCACACUGGGACUGAGACACGGCCCAGACUCCUACGGGAGGCAGCAGUGGGGAAUUUUGGACAAUGGGGGCAACCCUGAUCCAGCCAUCCCGCGUGUGCGAUGAAGGCCUUCGGGUUGUAAAGCACUUUUGGCAGGAAAGAAACGGCGCCAGCUAAUACCUGGCGCUAAUGACGGUACCUGCAGAAUAAGCACCGGCUAACUACGUGCCAGCAGCCGCGGUAAUACGUAGGGUGCAAGCGUUAAUCGGAAUUACUGGGCGUAAAGCGUGCGCAGGCGGUUCGGAAAGAAAGAUGUGAAAUCCCAGAGCUUAACUUUGGAACUGCAUUUUUAACUACCGGGCU
rnacentral:rRNA from 1 species